rnacentral:rRNA from 1 species
CUAACACAUGCAAGUCGAACGAAGCACUUUUGAUUGAUUUCCUCGGAAAGAUUUCACUUGUGACUGAGUGGCGGACGGGUGAGUAACGCGUGGGUAACCUGCCUCAUACAGGGGGAUAACAGUUAGAAAUGACUGCUAAUACCGCAUAAGCGCACGGUAUCGCAUGAUACAGUGUGAAAAACUCUGGCGGUAUGAGAUGGACCCGCGUCUGAUUAGCUAGUUGGUGGGGUAACGGCCUACCAAGGCGACGAUCAGUAGCCGACCUGAGAGGGUGACCGGCCACAUUGGGACUGAGACACGGCCCAAACUCCUACGGGAGGCAGCAGUGGGGAAUAUUGCACAAUGGGCGAAAGCCUGAUGCAGCGACGCCGCGUGAACGAAGAAGUAUUUCGGUAUGUAAAGUUCUAUCAGCAGGGAAGAUAAUGACGGUACCUGACUAAGAAGCACCGGCUAAAUACGUGCCAGCAGCCGCGGUAAGAC